CCUUACACGACCGUACCGCAAACCGACACUGGUGCGCGAGAUGAGUAUUCUAAGGCGCUUGAGAGAACUCAGGAGAAGGAACUCGGCAAAUUGACACCGUAACUUCGGAAGAAGGUGUGCCUUUAGUAGGUGAACCAUUUACUUGGGGAGCCCAAUGAGGCUGCAAAAAAUCGGUGGCUGCAACUGUUUAUUAAAAACACAGCACUCUGCUAAGACGAAAGUCGACGUAUAGGGUGUGACGCCUGCCCGGUGCUGGAAGAUUAAAUGAUGGGGUGCAAGCUCUUGAUUGAAGUCCCAGUAAACGGCGGCCGUAACGAUAACGGUCCUAAGGUAGCGAAAUUCCUUGUCGGGUAAGUUCCGACCUGCACGAAUGGCGUAAUGAUGGCCACACUGUCUCCUCCUGAGACUCAGCGAAGUUGAAAUGUUUGUGAUGAUGCAAUCUCCCCGCGGAAAGACGGAAAGACCCCAUGAACCUUUACUGUAGCUUUGUAUUGGACUUUGAACAGAUCUGUGUAGGAUAGGUGGGAGGCUUUGAAGUGUGGUCGCUAGAUCGCAUGGAGCCAACGUUGAAAUACCACCCUGGUGUGUUUGAGGUUCUAACCUAGGUCCAUUAUCUGGAUCGGGGACAGUGCAUGGCAGGCAGUUUGACUGGGGCGGUCUCCUCCCAAAGUGUAACGGAGGAGUUCGAAGGUACGCUAGGUACGGUCGGACAUCGUGCUAAUAGUGCAAUGGCAUAAGCGUGCUUAACUGCGAGACUGACAAGUCGAGCAGAUGCGAAAGCAGGACAUAGUGAUCCGGUGGUUCUGUAUGGAAGGGCCAUCGCUCAACGGAUAAAAGGUACUCUGGGGAUAACAGGCUGAUACCGCCCAAGAGUUCAUAUCGACGGCGGUGUUUGGCACCUCGAUGUCGGCUCAUCUCAUCCUGGGGCUGUAGCCGGUCCCAAGGGUAUGGCUGUUCGCCAUUUAAAGAGGUACGUGAGCUGGGUUUAAAACGUCGUGAGACAGUUUGGUCCCUAUCUUCCGUGGGCGCUGCAGAUUUGAGGAAGCCUGCUCCUAGUACGAGAGGACCGGAGUGGACGAACCUCUGGUGUAUCGGUUGUCACGCCAGUGGCAUUGCCGAGUAGCUAAGUUCGGAAGAGAUAACCGCUGAAAGCAUCUAAGCGGGAAACUCGUUUCAAGAUUAGAUCUGCCGGGGCCUUGAGCCCCCUAAAGAGUCGUUCAAGACCAGGACGUUGAUAGGUCAGGUGUGGAAGCGAA
rnacentral:rRNA from 1 species